UGAAGGUGCAGUAGAUGGUGGUGGACCCACUCGAGAGUAUUUAAGGUUGCUAAUGAAGGCCAUUCAUCAGUCCAGCAUAUUUGAAGGACCUGAGACAGAUAAAAGAUUGACCCUCGACACUUGUGAGAGGUUGUUUAGUCAGCUUUGUGAUAAACGUACUCACCCUGCAACAUUGGAGGAAGUGAGUGAUGUCACGUUCAAGGAGAAGCUUUUGAAGAUUAAAGAAGCAACAACUGUUGGAGAUGCAAAAGCUGCAAUAGAGGAGGCAGAGGAAAGUCUUGCUAUUGUUGGGGCUUGCAGAAGCAUCACAACACUGAAGCAGAGGGAUGCCCUGGUGCAAUCUGCUGUUGACUUCUUUGUUGAGGGCAGAUUAAAUGUCGCAUUACAACAGUUUGUGGAGGGCUUCAACACCCUUGGCCUCCUCCAGGAGAUGAGGGCACACCCGGAUCUGUUCCGUAGCAUGUUUGAGGAGGAU
ensembl:lncRNA